GUGUAUGUAUAGUACAUAGAAUUAUGUACAAAAGUUAGGAAUGUGAACAACGUAUGAAUCUUGAUAUACAUGUGUGCAUGCGUUUGGAGCAGGGGAUAUCAGGUUUAGUAUUGGCGAAUUUCAGGAAGCCUGGAGGUUUUAAAAGAUGCAAUGUCUCGGCAACUAACAACUGAUGCGGGUAGUUUGUCCAUGCUUCAGCAACUCUGAGUGUGAAAAAUGUUAACGAAACUCAUGGGAGCUGUACUGUUUUCUGACGUCGUAGGCAUGACCACAGGUAGAGUUGGAAAAA